rnacentral:rRNA from 1 species
AACGAACGCUGGCGGCAUGCCUAACACAUGCAAGUCGAACGAGACCUUCGGGUCUAGUGGCGCACGGGUGCGUAACGCGUGGGAACCUGCCCUUAGGUUCGGAAUAACUCCCCGAAAGGGGUGCUAAUACCGGAUAAUGUCUUCGGACCAAAGAUUUAUCGCCUUUGGAUGGGCCCGCGUUGGAUUAGCUAGUUGGUAGGGUAAAAGCCUACCAAGGCGACGAUCCAUAGCUGGUCUGAGAGGAUGAUCAGCCACACUGGGACUGAGACACGGCCCAGACUCCUACGGGAGGCAGCAGUGGGGAAUAUUGGACACUGGGCGAAAGCCUGAUCCAGCAAUGCCGCGUGAGUGAUGAAGGCCUUAGGGUUGUAAAGCUCUUUUACCCGGGAUGAUAAUGACAGUACCGGGAGAAUAAGCUCCGGCUAACUCCGU